GAGUAACGCACGUCCUUGCGGAAGUGACGGCAGUUCCGAGACCAGUGGGGGCGGUAGGAGCGAUGAGGGUCUGAGACGGUGGGAGCGGUUGUGUGAAGAUGGAGUUUCCCGGAGGAAAUGACAAUUACCUGACGAUCACAGGGCCUUCGCACCCCUUCCUGUCAGGGGCCGAGACAUUCCACACACCAAGCUUGGGUGAUGAGGAAUUUGAAAUCCCACCUAUCUCCUUGGAUUCUGAUCCCUCAUUGGCUGUCUCAGAUGUGGUUGGCCACUUUGAUGACCUGGCAGACCCUUCCUCUUCACAGGAUGGCAGUUUUUCAGCCCAGUAUGGGGUCCAGACAUUGGACAUGCCUGUGGGCAUGACCCAUGGCUUGAUGGAGCAGGGCGGGGGGCUCCUGAGUGGGGGCUUGACCAUGGUAAGGGGCAAGACAUUGUCAGGCUUUCCCCAGCUAAUGGGCAUGGCAUUAGGGGAGACAAAAGUUACUCUUUAUUCCCUACUACACUUGGGUAUUACUUGUUUCUCUUCUUGUGGCUAAAGGCUCACCAACAAAGACUUAAUUUCACCUGAAUAAAUGAAAUUUACCAUGUAGGUAGAUUUUUACUUGAAAAAUAAUUUAAAGUUGUACAAUGUCCGGUUUGAAAAUUAUUUAUUGUGGUUUUUGGGAAAAAGUGUUUUCUGCUUUUAUUAUGGCCUUCACAUUCUAGGAUUCAAAUUUGAAUGUGAUAGCUGGCACAUGGAGGGAUUUAUUCAAAAAUGGCCUGAAUCAUGUUGAGAAGCCAGCAGGACAGAGCUUAAAAAAAAAAAAAGGUCUGAGCCAAAUAUAGUAUUGUGGAUUAAUUAGUAUGUAAUAUAAAUCAGUAUAUUGGGCUUCCAGCACAUCGAACCAGUAGCAUAUCUUCAUACUCUAUAUUUGAUGCCAAACUUUAAUAUUGGCCUUAUUUAUGCUGAUUGCCUGUGUAUUACAAUUUUAAAAGCUAUUAUUUUGGGAUGGUACAGAUAGGAAGUUUUUCUUUACUCAAUGUGUUCUCACUACCUAUAUAUUACUGAAUAAGUUGAUAGCUCUUUGACUUGUCCAACAGUACGACUUCUCUGAUUAUUUUUAGUUCUUUUGAGUGCAAAGAAGUAAAUUCAUUAAUUUCUGUACUUUCUUAAAAAGCUUAUUUUUUUAUUUUCAUUUUUGAAGACAAUUUAUUUUAUGUUUUGUAUUUUAAAUGAUACAGUUUGGGUAGGCAGGGAAUUUAUAAGCUGUCUUAAAUUUAGGGGGGAAAAGUGGUGUUUUUUUAUAUUUAGUGUUUAAUUAGUCCUUCUGCUUCUCUCAGGACUUGGACCACUCUAUAGGAACUCAGUAUAGUGCCAACCCACCUGUUACAAUUGAUGUACCAAUGACAGACAUGACAUCUGGCUUGAUGGGGCAUAGCCAGUUGACCACCAUUGAUCAGUCAGAACUGAGUUCCCAACUGGGUUUGAGCCUAGGGGGUGGCACCAUCCUGCCACCUGCCCAGUCACCUGAAGAUCGUCUUUCAACCACCCCUUCACCUACUAGUUCACUUCACGAGGAUGGUGUUGAGGAUUUCCGGAGGCAACUUCCCAGCCAGAAGACAGUCGUGGUGGAAGCAGGGAAAAAGCAGAAGGCCCCAAAGAAGAGAAAAAAGAAAGAUCCUAAUGAACCUCAGAAACCAGUUUCAGCAUAUGCUUUAUUCUUUCGUGAUACACAGGCUGCCAUCAAGGGACAGAAUCCUAAUGCCACUUUUGGUGAGGUUUCAAAAAUUGUGGCCUCCAUGUGGGAUAGUCUUGGAGAGGAGCAAAAACAGGUAUAUAAGAGGAAAACUGAGGCUGCCAAGAAAGAGUAUCUGAAGGCACUGGCUGCUUACAAAGACAACCAGGAGUGUCAGGCCACUGUGGAAACAGUGGAAUUGGAUCCAGCACCACCAUCACAAACUCCUUCUCCACCUCCUAUGGCUACUGUUGACCCAGCAUCUCCAGCACCAGCUUCAAUAGAGCCCCCUGCCCUGUCCCCAUCCAUUGUUGUUAACUCCACCCUUUCAUCCUAUGUGGCAAACCAGGCAUCUUCUGGAGCUGGGGGUCAGCCCAAUAUCACCAAGUUGAUUAUUACCAAACAAAUGUUGCCGUCUUCCAUUACUAUGUCUCAAGGAGGGAUGGUUACUGUUAUCCCAGCCACAGUGGUGACCUCCCGGGGGCUCCAACUAGGCCAAACCAGUACAGCUACUAUCCAGCCCAGUCAGCAAGCCCAGAUUGUCACUCGGUCAGUGUUGCAGGCAGCAGCUGCUGCUGCUGCUGCUGCUUCUAUGCAACUGCCUCCACCCCGACUACAGCCCCCUCCAUUACAACAGAUGCCACAGCCCCCAACUCAGCAGCAAGUUACCAUUCUGCAGCAGCCUCCUCCACUCCAGGCCAUGCAACAGCCUCCACCUCAGAAAGUUCGAAUCAAUUUACAGCAACAGCCUCCUCCUCUGCAGAUCAAGAGUGUGCCUCUACCCACUUUGAAAAUGCAGACUACCUUAGUUCCACCAACUGUGGAAAGUAGUCCUGAGCGGCCUAUGAACAACAGCCCUGAGGCCCAUACAGUAGAGGCAACUUCUCCUGAGACUAUCUGUGAGAUGAUCACAGAUGUAGUUCCUGAGGUUGAGUCUCCUUCUCAGAUGGAUGUUGAAUUGGUGAGUGGGUCUCCUGUGGCACUCUCACCCCAGCCUCGAUGUGUGAGGUCUGGUUGUGAGAACCCUCCCAUUGUGAGUAAGGACUGGGACAACGAAUACUGCAGCAAUGAGUGUGUGGUGAAGCACUGCAGGUGAGCUUACAGUUAGUUCCCUCUUUUGUAAUUCAGAUACUGGUCAAUUCUAUUGGGAAACAUGGUAAUCUUGAGCAUAAAAUCAGCAUCUCAGUGUCACCUUACCUUAGGUAGAGUAGGUUGCUGUAUAUCUAUCUGGUCUACUAGAAAAGCUCCCCUGCUUAAGAGCUUACAUUUGCCACAUAAGCCAAAGAUGACGUAAUCAGCAGUUCACAUUUUUCAGUUACCACAUACCUCUCUUAUGUAUGCUCUUUAAAAAUAUAAUACAUUAAGCUGUUAGUGUUUGCAAAUAUUAGCUUUUCAAUUCUUAGUGCAAAUCAGACUACUUAGGGAACUAGAAUUUGGGGAGAAAUGGUAAGUGGAAAGUAGCACAUAAUAAUUUGCAAUUUGUGAGGGAAAUGGGGAGAAGGUUGGAAUAUUUUACCCCUUCCCCAAAUUUUCCUGGGAAUUUCCUAUAGCUGUAGGACAAGGCAUUUCUAUUUCCUAUUUCAAAAACUCUACAGUAAAUUAGCAUUGCCUCUACUUCUGAUUUUUAAGCCCACUGUUAUAUUUCUAAGGUGAUACUAUCUCACCAUAAUGCUGUAGGAAAUUAUCUGGGAACCUAUUUGUUUAAAACAGAUAAAAAAUCCAGCUGGGCCAAUAUGGUGAAACUCCAUCUCUACUAAAAAUACAAAAACUAGCCGGGCAUGGUGGCGGGCACCUGUAGUCCUGGUUACUCAGGAGGCUGAGGCAGGAGAAUCUCUUGAACCUGGGAGAUGGAGGUUGCAGUGAGCCAAGAAGAUCACGCCACUGCACUCCAGCCUGGGCAACAGUGAGACUCCAUCUCAAAAAAAAAAAAGAC
rnacentral:sRNA from 1 species